UGCUGUGGGCUGGAGUGGGGGUGUUAGGAGGUUUAUAGCUCAACACAAACUGAGUGGGAUUUUGCAGAACAAAGAAAAGGUUUAAGGAAAGAGUGAUGAAGGUGAAUUGUGUAACUCAGCUGGCAUCCUGGAUGACCCGUAUGCGUCGCUCUGCAACAAAAGCCUAAGUGAUGCUUUCCCCAGCCAGAUGGCAACGAGGGUGUGUGAGCUGCGGCUCCUGAACUCGGGCUGAACCUCGCGGCGCAGAAUGAUGCUAUUAUAGUCCCUGCGUAGGCUGCCGGCACAGCUGCCUCCUAGCCCGGGAGGCCUGGCCGCGUGGAAAGCAGCGGCCGGCUGGGAGGAGAUUGCGCAUUAUUUCUGCCGAUACUGGGGAAGAUCAUUUGCUUGACCACAGCACUUCUCAGUCUGAAAAGUCGGCUGAUGUGGUCACUUAACCAGCACAGACUUCUCCGUGUGAUUUCUCUUUUUACAGAAUUUUUUACCUCUUAUA